AGAUUUGAGAUUUCUUCAACUGUAACGUGCAGGUUGGGAUUUGCUGCAAGUAUGAGAAAGUUUUGGCGCCAUAUUGCACUUGUCCCGGCCUGCAUGUCGCACGUGUCUAGGCAGCCAUCUUGG
rnacentral:precursor_RNA from 14 species